AUUGAACGCUGGCGGCAUGCCUUACACAUGCAAGUCGAACGGCAGCGCGGGGCAACCUGGCGGCGAGUGGCGAACGGGUGAGUAAUAUAUCGGAACAUACCCUAGAGUGGGGGAUAACGUAGCGAAAGUUACGCUAAUACCGCAUACGCACUAAGGUGGAAAGUGGGGGAUCUUCGGACCUCAUGCUCAUGGAGUGGCCGAUAUCUGAUUAGCUAGUUGGUGAGGUAAAGGCUCACCAAGGCGACGAUCAGUAGCUGGUUUGAGAGAACGACCAGCCACACUGGAACUGAGACACGGUCCAGACUCCUACGGGAGGCAGCAGUGGGGAAUUUUGGACAAUGGGGGCAACCCUGAUCCAGCAAUGCCGCGUGAGUGAAGAAGGCCUCGGUUGGUAAAGACGUCUUUUGUCUAGGGAAGAAACGGUAGA
rnacentral:rRNA from 1 species